UAUGUGUGUAUACAGGAAUUCCAUUCAAGGACUUAUACAUCUGUCUAAGUUUCCUUAAACUGCUAAUAUAUCAUGGCUCUACGGAUCCUUGUUUUUAUCACUGGAACAUUACUUUAUGUUUCCUGCACAAAUGAAGACUGUUUUGAGUUUGGGAUUCCGUACAGAGGAUCAGUGAAUACAACAAUCUCAGGAAAACAUUGUCAGAGAUGGGACCAGCAAUACCCACAUCAGCAUAAAUUCAAUAACUGGCCUGGCACUGUGGAGAAUUUCUGCAGAACGUUGGACGAAACUCAGCCCUGGUGUUACACGACAAAUUCACAACAGAGAUAUGAGUUCUGUUUUGUUUAUAUUUGUGGCAAAACAAAUGUAACAUGUAGAUUACCAGGGUAUUUAUACACUGGAACCAUGAACGUGACAAAAUCCGGGCUUCCAUGUCAGCGCUGGGAUUCACAAACUCCACACGAACACACGUAUGGGUAGCUUUAGUCAUGCAACAGAGAACUACUGUCGAAACUUUGAUAGAGAGGAGCCUUGGUGCUUCACGAAUGAUUCUUCCAUUCGGCUAGAAUUGUGCGAUGUGGAUGUGUGCGCAACACCUUGCCUCAACCCUAGUAUUUAUACAAAACAACGAGUUUUUCAGCAUUGUAUUAAUCAAGUGCACAUAUCUCAGAACUGCAGCCAGCUAUGGGGAUUUCUGACCUGCUUAAAGCAGCAAACGGAAAAUAUCACUUCUAUUAAAUGUUCAGAUAUUCCUCUUAAAGCUAUCGCUCUUCAGAUGCAGGAUGUAUUAGAAAGAAUUCUGGGUUGGAAAAUUGACAGCUGUAAGUGGUUGAUAUGUAUGAUGUUUAUUAUUUGUCACAAAAAAUCAUUGUACACAAAACAUAUGGAGUCAACGUACAGUUUUAAAUAUCAAAGUCCAAAAAACAAUACAAAU